GCUACCAUGCAAGUCGAGCGCACUCUUCGGAGUGAGCGGCGGACGGGUUAGUAACGCGUGGGAAUAUACCCUUUACUACGGAAUAGCCUUUGGAAACGAAGAGUAAUACCGUAUACGCCCUUCGGGGGAAAGAUUUAUCGGUAAAGGAUUAGCCCGCGUUUGAUUAGAUAGUUGGUGGGGUAAUGGCCUACCAAGUCUACGAUCAAUAGCUGGUUUGAGAGGAUGAUCAGCAACACUGGGACUGAGACACGGCCCAGACUCCUACGGGAGGCAGCA
rnacentral:rRNA from 1 species